CUCGAACCACAGAUUACGGAUAUCCGUAAUCUGUGAGUGGAACGCUCCAAAACCAAACUGUCAAAUUAAACGCAGUGAUAGUUAUCUCUGUCAUACGUAAACAAACCGAGUUUGGCAUUCAACAGCUGCACAGAUUACGGAUAACAUAGAUAGAACACUCGCCUUCCCCCACCCGAAAUUAAGUUUUAGUUCUUGUCCCGGUUCCUUGGAACCGCUGCAAGUCAUUUGUUUACGUUUGGUUUGCUCUUGCCAUAGAUAUUAGGUCUAUGGCUCUUGCAAUAUUAUUUUAACCUAGAAGCUGAAAAUGGACGUUUGUCAUUGAAGUUGUUCAACUAAGUACAAUUCUCGUACGCCGUAGAAAUUCAUUUGAAGAAAAAAAUAUACUUCCAAAUUUCGAGAAUGCCUAGACUAAAGAAAUGUUGUGUACAAGGAUGUACCGAUGAGACAAGUAAAAGAAAUCAUUUCCCUAAGAGUAAUUUGGAUUAAUUCAAUAACUGGCUCCAAAUGAUCCAACCAAGAAAUUGGCAACAAUUCAGAAGCCAUCGUGGUCUUACUUGCAAUGCCAUACCUACAAUCAGUAUUCCAGGUAAUUUUAUCGAAUUACUCAAUUUUAUUCAUAUUUAAACCCCUUAAAUUUUUGUUCCAUGUGUACUGUCCAAUGGAGCUGUAGUAUAUUCUGGUUUAAACGAUACUAAGAAUUAGGCGUUACAUAGUAUAUAUUUCAGUAAUAGUUAUAGGAUGUAGUAUGUUUCUAGUUUGUUGGUUUUUGAAUUCUGAUGAACAUUUGAUUUUUUGUAGAUACUGUAUGCACUGAUUGAUUCUCUCAAUGUAUCAAAGAUUCGAAAUACACAGGGUAAGUUUUUGAAGGAACCAAUAACCACAAAAUCAGAACAUGAAAUCUUUUGGAAAAAAUCAAUAAAAUUUUUUGAAAACAUGUAUUUUUAUGAUGAAAAAAAAAAAAAAUGUGGAGGUACCUACCAUAAAAAAUUUUAUUUUGAUCUUUGAAAGCUUUCGUUUACUUUAAGAGGAGGUUGUUGACUGAAAAAAGUUUCAAGUAUAUCUUGACUGGUGCUUUCAAUCAAGAUUGCCUUGAAAAUUUUUUCAGUUAUAUCCGAGGGCAUGGUGUAAGGAACACUAAUCCAAAUAUUGGCCAGUUUAUGUCCUCUUUCAAAUGCCUUACUUUGAAUAACUUCAUGUCCUCCCAUUCUGUAGGUUCCAACUGUGAAGAUAAUUUGGAUAAUCUAAAAUCAUUUGUUUUAUUAAAAUUUCCUUUACCUCAAAAUGUUGUGCUUGAAGAUUUAAAUAUAGUUAUUCCGAAAUUAAUAGUCCUUGAACAAAAAUCAAAAUUUAGUAGAUGUACAGUGCAUCCCAUUUUGGGUGAGACUGCCAGGUUUCUCGCUUGUUAUUUAAGAUAGAGCCUUGCGGUUUUCACGUUCCUGUCCUACUUUUUCGUGAAAC